UCCAACCUCAUCAGUUCAGGCAUCCGUGAGACCAUUCGCUACCUUGUGCAGCACAACAUGGUGGACGUAUUGGUGACCACAGCUGGCGGCGUGGAGGAAGACCUCAUCAAGUGCCUGGCGCCCACAUACUUGGGCGAGUUUAGCCUCAGGGGGAAGGAGCUCCGGGAGAACGGGAUCAAUAGGAUCGGAAACCUGCUGGUGCCCAAUGACAAUUACUGCAAGUUUGAGGACUGGCUGAUGCCCAUUCUGGACCAGAUGGUGAUGGAGCAGAACACAGAGGUGGGGCUGGGGCAACCUGGAGCGGCCAGUCCAGUGGGAGUCAGGGGAGGCAUGGCCUGAAGCUCACAUCCUCUCCUAGGGUGUAAAGUGGACGCCUUCUAAGAUGAUCGCCCGGCUGGGCAAGGAGAUCAACAACCCAGAGUCCGUGUAUUACUGGGCCCAGAAGAACCACAUCCCUGUGUUUAGUCCCGCACUUACAGACGGCUCGCUGGGCGACAUGAUCUUCUUCCAUUCCUACAAGAACCCGGGCCUGGUCCUGGACAUCGUUGAGGGUGAGGCGCUAGGGCCACAGAGGAGAGGGGAAGGAGGGCUGGCUGAGUCCAAGGCCUGACUUCGGCCCUCUUCCCCCAGACCUGAGGCUCAUCAACACACAGGCCAUCUUUGCCAAGUGCACUGGGAUGAUCAUUCUGGGCGGGGGCGUGGUCAAGCACCACAUUGCCAAUGCCAACCUCAUGGUGAGUGGGGGUGGCGCUUCGGCCCACUCUGCAGACAUGCUGUGUGGUGGGCCUAUGCCAUGUGCUGGGGAGACAGCAUGAACUAGACAGGCCAGGAUCCCUGCUCCCCUGGGACUGAUGUUCUAGUAGGGGAGAUAGCAAACAAGUGACAUCCACGUCAGGGGGCAGUCAUUGCUACGGGGAAUACUAAAUGAUGGCAUGAGAAGAGAAAGGGGUGCUGUCCAGCAAGAGGUUUUGGAAGGAGGCUUCUGGAAGUGUGAGCUGGGAGCAGGGGUUUGGGGAGGCAUCUCCCAGGAGCUAUGUGGUUGUCUCCCGUGCCAGGAGUUUGUGCUGC
rnacentral:sRNA from 1 species